AUUGAACGCUGGCGGCAGGCCUAACACAUGCAAGUCGAACGGUAACAGGAAGCAGCUUGCUGCUUCGCUGACGAGUGGCGGACGGGUGAGUAAUGUCUGGGAAGCUGCCUGCUGGAGGGGGAUAACUACUGGAAACGGUAGCUAAUACCGCAUAAUGUCGCAAGACCAAAGAGGGGGACCUUCGGGCCUCUUGCCAUCGGAUGUGCCCAGAUGGGAUUAGCUUGUUGGUGGGGUAACGGCUCACCAAGGCGACGAUCCCUAGCUGGUCUGAGAGGAUGACCAGCCACACUGGAAGUGAGACACGGUCCAGACUCCUACGGGAGGCAGCAGUGGGGAAUAUUGCACAAUGGGCGCAAGCCUGAUGCAGCCAUGCCGCGUGUAUGAAGAAGGCCUUCGGGUUGUAAUGUACUUUCAGCGGGGAGGAAGGGAGUAAAGUUAAUACCUUUGCUCAUUGACGUUACCCGCAGAAGAAGCACCGGCUAACUCCGUG
rnacentral:rRNA from 1 species